rnacentral:rRNA from 1 species
UACGAAGGGGGCUAGCGUUGUUCGGAAUUACUGGGCGUAAAGGGCGCGUAGGCGGUGAAUCGGGUUGAAAGUGAAAGUCGCCAAAAAGUGGCGGAAUGCUCUCGAAACCAAUUCACUUGAGUGAGACAGAGGAGAGUGGAAUUUCGUGUGUAGGGGUGAAAUCCGUAGAUCUACGAAGGAACGCCAAAAGCGAAGGCAGCUCUCUGGGUCCCUACCGACGCUGGGGUGCGAAAGCAUGGGGAGCGAACAGG